rnacentral:rRNA from 1 species
UGGGGAAUAUUGCACAAUGGGGGAAACCCUGAUGCAGCGACGCCGCGUGAGCGAAGAAGUAUUUCGGUAUGUAAAGCUCUAUCAGCAGGGAAGAAAAUGACGGUACCUGAGUAAGAAGCCCCGGCUAACUACGUGCCAGCAGCCGCGGUAAUACGUAGGGGGCAAGCGUUAUCCGGAUUUACUGGGUGUAAAGGGAGCGUAGACGGCGGGGCAAGUCUGAUGUGAAAACCCGGGGCUCAACUCCUGGACUGCAUUGGAAACUGCCGGGCUUGAGUGCCGGAGGGGUAAGCGGAAUUCCUAGUGUAGCGGUGAAAUGCGUAGAUAUUAGGAGGAACACCAGUGGCGAAGGCGGCUUACUGGACGGUAACUGACGUUGAGGCUCGAAAGCGUGGGGAGCAAACAGGAUUAGAUACC